GAUGAACGCUAGCGGCAGGCCUAAUACAUGCAAGUCGAACGGUGUCGUCGGACAUAGUGGCGCACGGGUGCGUAACACGUAUGCAACCUACCUUACAUUGGGGGAUAGCCUUUCGAAAGGGAGAUUAAUACCGCAUAAGACAGUAGCUGGGCAUCCAGCAGCUGUUAAAGAUUUAUCGAUGUAAGCUGGGCAUGCGUCCAAUUAGCUAGUUGGAGAGGUAACGGAUCACCAAGGCAAUGAUUGGUAGGGGAACUGAGAGGUCACACCCCCACACUGGCACUGAGCUACGGGCCAUACGCCUGCGGGAUGCAGCAUUAGGGGUUAUUGGGCAAUGGACGCAAGUCUGACCCAGACAUGCCGCGUGCAGGAUUAAUGCGUUAUGCGUUGUAAACUGCUUUUAUACAGGGAAAAACUACUCUUGCGAGAGGCAUUGACGGUACUGUAUGAAUAAGCACCGGCUACCUCCGUGCCAGCCGCCGCAGUAAAAC
rnacentral:rRNA from 1 species